CGUAUUCAGUACAUAAUACUCACUAUCUACCAGGCGCGUGGGUAGCCUGAUGGUGCGAAACAACAGUCACUGUAGUUUCACCCCGCGCUCACUGGGUUCGAACCCAGCCGAGCAUCUCUGAAAACUUAGUCCACUACAUUCGUAGUCGGAUUGGUCGAAGAGGUGUUUCGGGGGAAUUAUGAUAAUCACAAUUGGCACAGCCUUUGUGAA